rnacentral:rRNA from 1 species
CCUACGGGUGGCAGCAGUCGAGAAUCAUUCACAAUGGGGGAAACCCUGAUGGUGCGACGCCGCGUGGGGGAAUGAAGGUCUUCGGAUUGUAAACCCCUGUCAUGUGGGAGCAAAUUAAAAAGAUAGUACCACAAGAGGAAGAGACGGCUAACUCUGUGCCAGCAGCCGCGGUAAUACAGAGGUCUCAAGCGUUGUUCGGAAUCACUGGGCGUAAAGCGUGCGUAGGCUGUUUCGUAAGUCGUGUGUGAAAGGCGCGGGCUCAACCCGCGGACGGAACAUGAUACUGCGAGACUAGAGUAAGGGAGGGGGAACCGGAAUUCUCGGUGUAGCAGUGAAAUGCGUAGAGAGCGAGAGGAACACUCGUGGCGAAGGCGGGUUCCUGGACAUUAACUGACGCUGAGGCACGAAGGCCAGGGGAGCGAAAGGGAUUAGAUACCCCAGUAGUC